UACGGAGGGUGCAAGCGUUAUCCGGAUUUACUGGGUUUAAAGGGUGCGUAGGUGGACAGGAAAGUCAGUGGUGAAAUCUUCGAGCUUAACUCGGAAACUGCCAUUGAUACUAUUUGUCUUGAAUACUUUGGAGGUAAGCGGAAUAUGUCAUGUAGCGGUGAAAUGACUAGAUAUGACAUAGAACACCAAUUGCGAAGGCAGCUUACUACACAGUUAUUGACUCUUAGGCACGAAAGCGUGGGGAUGAAACAGG
rnacentral:rRNA from 1 species